rnacentral:tRNA from 2 species
UCGGCAGUAGCUCAGCGGUAGAGCGUUCGACUGUUAAUCGAAUGGUCGUAGGUUCGAUCCCUACCUGCCGAGCCA